rnacentral:snoRNA from 1 species
ACCGGAGGACUAAUCAGACUGAGUCUGAAGAGUGAGACUCAGAUGACAGGAGCCUCCUAAAGGAAAAGGGAUGGAGAGAGCAGUCCUGCUUCCAGAAGAGCAAAGGGCUGACUGUGCCAUCCGACACUG